rnacentral:rRNA from 1 species
ACAGCAGUAGCCGCGGUAAUACAGAGGGUGCGAGCGUUAAUCGGAUUUACUGGGCGUAAAGCGUGCGUAGGCGGCUAAUUGAGUCGGAUGUGAAAUCCCCGAGCUUAACUUGGGAAUUGCAUUCGAUACUGGUUAGCUAGAGUAUGGGAGAGGAUGGUAGAAUUCCAGGUGUAGCGGUGAAAUGCGUAGAGAUCUGGAGGAAUACCGAUGGCGAAGGCAGCCAUCUGGCCUAAUACUGACGCUGAGGUACGAAAGCAUGGGGAGCAAACAGGAUUAGAUACCCCCGUAGUCCCUGUCUCUUAUAC